UGGACACGUAAGUUUUCUUUCAGUUUCUCCUCUAUGUGGGGAAAACUGUACAAGUGUCCUAUAGUAACACAGAAGCUAUCUGUUCAACUCUGAUGAGUUAAUAGGGUUGGAUCGUUCCACUUCUGACAGUU
rnacentral:snoRNA from 3 species